GCAUAACCAUUUCCGUUGACCCAGUGUCCAGCUUGCUUUUGUCAAAAGCUCGCCUCUCUUUCGACUACAGCCCUAACUAUUCCUCCACAAGGAGAAAAACUGGAAGCCAUUCGCGGUUCAUCGACUCUACAACAAACAACAACAUUCGUCACAGCAGUGGUGUCGUCGGAUGUCGAACGGGCGGUUUGGCGCUCGUACACAGCUGGCUCUACCGUCCACGCCGGUAUUGGUACGGUUCGUCGUUGCAUGUACGGAGCUGUCUGUCCAGCAUAUUCUAGGAUGUCACAGGUUGCACGCGGAUACUGAAGCCACCGACCACAUGUAGCGGCGCGGAGGUGAACUGCGGCUCAUCUGUGCUGACGGCAACACUGAGAGGUGCGGCGCAAAGCUAACCCAACGAACGACUUUCACCACUCCAAUCUGAGUCGGCGUGCCGACACCCUCCAUGCGCUACGAGUAUGUGAUUAUGCACUGUUUCACAUACGUGGUAACACAGUACCACCAGCACCGAAAUGAUUAUUCUGUUACUAUGGCUUUGUUGGCAAGGUCAGAGACCUCUUGUACGGACCUCUUGCACAUACGUUAAUGCGCCCACUCAAAGGCAUACACACAGAUCUUGCGCAUGAUGUCGUGUUUGCCACACAUGGUGCUAAGUCAUCAGCAGCAGCACCCUGACAUUAGCCAUGUUCAUUGCCAGAAAGAACUGUGUACACUCUACCUGCAGGUACGACAGUCGAUCCUGAAUUACGCAUGCUAUUACGCAACUGUCUCUUAUGGUGCUGUGGUUCAAUAUGUAUGCAUAGUUUUUUAAUGAAUUUUGUUCU